rnacentral:tRNA from 1 species
GCAUCUAUGGCAGAGUGGUCGAAUGCACCGCACUCAUAAUGCGGCUUACAUCGUAGGUUCAAACCCUACUGGAUGCA